rnacentral:rRNA from 1 species
AUUGAACGCUGGCGGCAGGCCCAACACAUGCAAGUCGAGCGGAUGAAGGGAGCUUGCUCCUGGAUUCAGCGGCGGACGGGUGAGUAAUGCCUAGGAAUCUGCCUGGUAGUGGGGGAUAACGUCCGGAAACGGGCGCUAAUACCGCAUACGUCCUGAGGGAGAAAGUGGGGGAUCUCCGGACCUCACGCUAUCAGAUGAGCCUAGGUCGGAUUAGCUAGUUGGUGGGGUAAAGGCCUACCAAGGCGACGAUCCGUAACUGGUCUGAGAGGAUGAUCAGUCACACUGGAACUGAGACACGGUCCAGACUCCUACGGGAGGCAGCAGUGGGGAAUAUUGGACAAUGGGCGAAAGCCUGAUCCAGCCAUGCCGCGUGUGUGAAGAAGGUCUUCGGAUUGUAAAGCACUUUAAGUUGGGAGGAAGGGCAGUAAGUUAAUACCUUGCUGUUUUGACGUUACCAACAGAAUAAGCACCGGCUAACUUCGUG